rnacentral:rRNA from 1 species
AUGAACGCUAGCGACAGGCUUAACACAUGCAAGUCGAGGGGCAGCACAGGUAGCAAUACCGGGUGGCGACCGGCGCACGGGUGAGUAACGCGUAUGCAACUUACCUAUCAGAGGGGGAUAACCCGGCGAAAGUCGGACUAAUACCGCAUGAAGCAGGGGCCCCGCAUGGGGAUAUUUGCUAAAGAUUCAUCGCUGAUAGAUAGGCAUGCGUUCCAUUAGGCAGUUGGCGGGGUAACGGCCCACCAGACCGACGAUGGAUAGGGGUUCUGAGAGGAAGGUCCCCCACAUUGGUACUGAGACACGGACCAAACUCCUACGGGAGGCAGCAGUGAGGAAUAUUGGUCAAUGGGCGUAAGCCUGAACCAGCCAAGUCGCGUGAGGGAUGAAGGUUCUAUGGAUCGUAAACCUCUUUUAUAAGGGAAUAAAGUGCGGGACGUGUCCCGUUUUGUAUGUACCUUAUGAAUAAGGAUCGGCUAACUCCGUGCCAGCAGCCGCGGUAAUACGGAGGAUCCGAGCGUUAUCCGGAUUUAUUGGGUUUAAAGGGUGCGUAGGCGGCCUUUUAAGUCAGCGGUGAAAGUCUGUGGCUCAACCAUAGAAUUGCCGUUGAAACUGGGAGGCUUGAGUAUGUUUGAGGCAGGCGGAAUGCGUGGUGUAGCGGUGAAAUGCUUAGAUAUCACGCAGAACCCCGAUUGCGAAGGCAGCCUGCCAAGCCAUGACUGACGCUGAUGCACGAAAGCGUGGGGAUCAAACAGGAUUAGAUACCCUGGUAGUCCACGCAGUAAACGAUGAUCACUAGCUGUUUGCGAUACAGUGUAAGCGGCACAGCGAAAGCGUUAAGUGAUCCACCUGGGGAGUACGCCGGCAACGGUGAAACUCAAAGGAAUUGACGGGGGCCCGCACAAGCGGAGGAACAUGUGGUUUAAUUCGAUGAUACGCGAGGAACCUUACCCGGGUUUGAACGCAUUCGGACCGAGGUGGAAACACCUCUUCUAGCAAUAGCCGUUUGCGAGGUGCUGCAUGGUUGUCGUCAGCUCGUGCCGUGAGGUGUCGGCUUAAGUGCCAUAACGAGCGCAACCCUUGCCACUAGUUACUAACAGGUAAAGCUGAGGACUCUGGUGGGACUGCCAGCGUAAGCUGCGAGGAAGGCGGGGAUGACGUCAAAUCAGCACGGCCCUUACAUCCGGGGCGACACACGUGUUACAAUGGCGUGGACAAAGGGAAGCCACCUGGCGACAGGGAGCGAAUCCCCAAACCACGUCUCAGUUCGGAUCGGAGUCUGCAACCCGACUCCGUGAAGCUGGAUUCGCUAGUAAUCGCGCAUCAGCCAUGGCGCGGUGAAUACGUUCCCGGGCCUUGUACACACCGCCCGUCAAGCCAUGGGAGCCGGGGGUACCUGAAGUCCGUAACCGCGAGGAUCGGCCUAGGGUAAAACUGGUGACUGGGGCU